rnacentral:rRNA from 1 species
UGCGGAAUAUUGGUCAAUGGGCGAGAGCCUGAACCAGCCAAGUAGCGUGCAGGAUGACGGCCCUAUGGGUUGUAAACUGCUUUUAUGUGGGGAUAAAGUGCGUGACGUGUCAUGCAUUGCAGGUACCACAUGAAUAAGGACCGGCUAAUUCCGUGCCAGCAGCCGCGGUAAUACGGAAGGUCCGGGUGUUAUCCGGAUUUAUUGGGUUUAAAGGGAGCGUAGGCUGUCUAUUAAGCGUGUUGUGAAAUUUACCGGCUCAACCGGUGGCUUGCAGCGCGAACUGGUCGACUUGAGUAUGCAGGAAGUAGGCGGAAUUCAUGGUGUAGCGGUGAAAUGCUUAGAUAUCAUGACGAACUCCGAUUGCGCAGGCAGCUUACUGUAGCAUAACUGACGCUGAUGCUCGAAAGUGCGGGUAUCAAACAGG